UCAUGGCAAGCGUUGUCCGGCUCUGAGCUUGAUCCUGGCUCAGGACGAACGCUGGCGGUAUGCCUAAUACAUGCAAGUCGAACGCUGAAGCACUCUGCUUGCAGAGUGUGGAUGAGUGGCGAACGGGUGAGUAACACGUGGGGAACCUGCCCAUAAGAGGGGGAUAACAUCCGGAAACGGGUGCUAAUACCGCAUAGGUGAUCAUAGCGCAUGCUUAGAUCAUUAAAGAUGGCUUCGGCUAUCGCUUAUGGAUGGCCCCGCGGCGUAUUAGCUAGUUGGUGAGGUAAUGGCUCACCAAGGCUGUGAUACGUAGCCGACCUGAGAGGGUGAUCGGCCACACUGGAACUGAGACACGGUCCAGACUCCUACGGGAGGCAGCAGUAGGGAAUCUUCCACAAUGGGCGAAAGCCUGAUGGAGCAAUACCGCGUGAGUGAAGAAGGUCUUCGGAUCGUAAAGCUCUGUUGUUAGAGAAGAACAAGAGGUGUAGUAACUGGCACCUCCUUGACGGUAUCUAACCAGAAAGUCACGGCUAACUACGUGCCAGCAGCCGCUAGUAGAUCGUACGC
rnacentral:rRNA from 1 species